CGGUCGGAUCCUAUCCAGCUAAUCCAUUAGAGGAACAGCCAGCUUGGUUACGCCUAUCCAUUUACUUGUUCAGACCCGGGCACUCACUGGCUUGCGUGAAGGGAAAUGUGAAGCUUUUGUUAUGUCUGGUGGGCUCAAGCACACUUCACUGCUUUCUUGUUGUGCCCGAGCUAGCUUCACAAGCACCAAAAAUUGGGACAC
rnacentral:lncRNA from 1 species